rnacentral:tRNA from 1 species
GGUGGUAUGGCUGAAUUAGUAGACGCUAAUUGAGUGUGGUUACUCGUAAGGUGAAAAUCCUUGCUAAGUGUUAGAUAGGUUGAAAAUAAAACCUGACAAUCUACAUCAAUCCUAUCAUGUGGGUUCAAGUCCCGCUACCACCU